CGCCGGGUGCCAUCUUGGGGGAGGGCACGCUGAAGAAUGGGAGGCGACUGGACAAGGGGGAGCGGCUUCCACUGCCAGAGGGCGAGCCUGUGAUGUUUGCAGCCUCUUGGUACAACACAGUCACAGUAGUGCCACAAACAUGAUGCCAAGCUCCAGAGUCAGCUGUUCAGGUGGCGAUGGCAGGAGCAGUGCUCUGGGACAGCUGCAAAACCUGUCUGAGGAGCAGGGAAAAGAUCUGACUGAAUUUGGAGCAAGACCAUACAUACACUGUGUAGUGAGAGACUGUAAAUACUGAUCCAGUUUGCAAUGAAGAUGCAAUUAAGUUUUGAUGAGAAGCCUCAUGAAGAUACCUUUUAGAACAACAGACAGAAGAAAUUUUAGAAUGGGCUUUCCUGAUACAAUUACAGUAUUUAUGUUCAAAUGCUGUUUCAAAUGUCAUUAUGUUCAUGCUAAUCCUGCCUAACUACAUGUUCAGUACUGUUAACAAAGUGUUACUAAAAUGAAGCCUGGAGUUAUCUAUUAAAUAUUUUACUCUUGUAAUCAGAAGAGACAGAAAAACAGGCUUUUGUUUGCAUUUGCUUAUUUUUCCAGUUGUGUGGCAGUCAGUAAAUACACCAUGGAUCAGAGAAGCACAGGGGCCCUACCCUGAUGGAGGCCAUUUUUAGCAUACUUCUUACAGGACUAACAAUUUGCUUUAGUUUUCACUAUCCAUCCCAGAGAGGCUCUGAAGUUUAAAUUCUUUUGUAUUGAAACUAGAAUUUGAAGC